rnacentral:rRNA from 1 species
UACGUAGGGUGCAAGCGUUCAUCGGAAUUACUGGGCGUAAAGCGUGCGCAGGCGGUGAUGUAAGACAGUUGUGAAAUCCCCGGGCUCAACCUGGGGACUGCAUCUGUGACUGCAUCGCUGGAGUACGGUAGAGGGGGAUGGAAUUCCGCGUGUAGCAGUGAAAUGCGUAGAUAUGCGGAGGAACACCGAUGGCGAAGGCAAUCCCCUGGACCUGUACUGACGCUCAUGCACGAAAGCGUGGGGAGCAAACAGG